GGGGGUAUAGCUCAGUGGUAGAGAGCAUGCUUAGCAUGCCUGAGGUCUUGGGUUCAAUCCCCAGUACUUCCA
rnacentral:tRNA from 1 species